CCGUAGGUGAACCUGCGGAAGGAUCAU
rnacentral:ncRNA from 8 species